rnacentral:rRNA from 1 species
GAUGAACGCUGGCGGCGUGCUUAACACAUGCAAGUCGAACGGACCAUAUUCGUAUGGUUAGUGGCAGACGGGUGCGUAACACGUGGGUGACCUGCCCUUAAGUGGGGAAUAACUCCGCUAACGCGGAGCUAAUACCGCAUAUGUUCGCUCAUUCGGUUGGGCGAGUAAAGCAGCAAUGCGCUUAGGGAUGGGCCUGCGGCGGAUUAGGUAGUUGGUGGGGUAACGGCCUACCAAGCCGAUGAUCCGUAGGGGGCGUGAGAGCGUGGCCCCCCACACUGGCACUGAGACACGGGCCAGACUCCUACGGGAGGCAGCAGUGAGGAAUAUUGCACAAUGGGCGCAAGCCUGAUGCAGCAACGCCGCGUGAGGGACGAAGGCCUUCGGGUUGUAAACCUCUUUUCUGAGGGACGAGGGAGGACGGUACCUCAGGAAUAAGUCUCGGCUAACUACGUGCCAGCAGCCGCGGUAAACGUAGCGUG